rnacentral:lncRNA from 1 species
GGCGUGAAGAAAACAGGUUUGUAAAUGAUGUUGUACAUCAUGCAGAUAGCUCAGAAGAAGAAGUAAGUUUUUUUUUUAAUUACAAAAGUAAAUAUAUAAUAUAAUAUUUGUUGCUGCCUUGUUCUAUAUAAAUGUUUCUAACAUGCAGGUAACAUUUAUAUAUGUAUUAGUUUGAAUAAAUCAUUUUAAUAAAGUUACAUUAUAGGCAGGAAUGUUUGACUGGAAAUAUAAACGAUGUCGUACAUAAUGCAGAUAGCUUAGGCAAAAAAGAGAUUGGUGAAAUGGAGAAUGAGACUAACUAGGGUGAAAAAAAAUGAAUAUUAAUAUGUGAAUGGUACUUUGUUUAACAUCUACCUGUUUCUACAGAUACAGUACAGACGCAUUUAUAAAUGGGCUUGAUGUUUUUUUGAAUUAAAUAUGUUGUAUUGA